rnacentral:rRNA from 1 species
UACGUAGGGUGCAAGCGUUAAUCGGAAUUACUGGGCGUAAAGCGUGCGCAGGCGGUUAUGCAAGACAGGUGUGAAAUCCCCGGGCUCAACCUGGGAACUGCAUUUGUGACUGCCUGGCUGGAGUGCGGCAGAGGGGGAUGGAAUUCCGCGUGUAGCAGUGAAAUGCGUAGAUAUGCGGAGGAACACCGAUGGCGAAGGCAAUCCCCUGGGCCUGCACUGACGCUCAUGCACGAAAGCGUGGGGAGCAAACAGG